rnacentral:rRNA from 1 species
ACGAACGCUGGCGGCGUGCUUAACACAUGCAAGUCGAACGGUGAACCGGGCUUCGGCCCGGGGAUCAGUGGCGAACGGGUGCGUAACACGUGGGCAACCUGCCCCAGACUUUGGGAUAACUCCGGGAAACCGGGGACGUAAUACCGGACUACUCCGGCUGCACCGCAUGACGCGGCCGGGAAAGCUCCGACGGUCUGGGAUGGGCCCGCGGCCUAUCAGCUUGUUGGCGGGGUAACGGCCCACCAAGGCGACGACGGGUAGCGGUCUGAGAGGACGACCAGCCACACUGGGACUGAGAUACGGCCCAGACUCCUACGGGAGGCAGCAGUGGGGAAUCUUGCGCAAUGGGCGGAAGCCUGACGCAGCGACGUCGCGUGGGGGAUGAAGGCC